rnacentral:rRNA from 1 species
GACGAACCGUGCUAACGUUGUUCGGAAUCACUGGGCUUAAAGGGCGCGUAGGCGGGCCGGCCAGUCAGGGGUGAAAGCCCACGGCUUAACCGUGGAAGCGCCUUUGAUACUGCCGGCCUCGAGGGGGGUAGGGGCGUGCGGAACUUCCGGUGGAGCGGUGAAAUGCGUAGAUAUCGGAAGGAACACCGGUGGCGAAAGCGGCGCGCUGGACCCCUUCUGACGCUGAGGCGCGAAAGCCAGGGGAGCAAACGGG